GACGAACGCUUGCGACGUGCCUAAGAAAUGCAAGUCGAACGGGGUAGCAAUACCUAGUGGCGAACGGUCGCGUAACACGUGGGCAACCUGCCCUGGAGCGGGGGACAACAUGCCGAAAGGUGUGCUAAUACCGCAUGUGGUUUCCGUCGGCAUCGACGGAUAACUAAAGAUUUAUCACUCCAGGAUGGGCCCGCGGCCUAUCAGCUAGUUGGUGGGGUAACGGCCUACCAAGGCUUCGACGGGUAGCUGGUCUGAGAGGACGAUCAGCCG
rnacentral:rRNA from 1 species